UGAGUAAGACAGGCGAUCGCAUCUAUUACCAUAGAUGAGGAAAGUCCGAGCUCCGUAGGGCAGGGUGCUGGAUAACACCCAGUGGAGGCGACUCCAAGGACAGUGCAACAGAAAGAUACCGCCCUGCACUCGAUCCAAAUCCAGCUCGUAAGCUGGAUUUGGAUCGAAUGCAGGGUAAGGGUGGAACGGUGAGGUAAGGGCUCACCAGCGUCCAGGCGACUGGAACGGCUAUGUAAACCCCACCUGGAGCAAGACCGAAUAGGGGCAAAAAACGGCUGCCCGCUGUGCCCCGGGUAAAGGUUGCUUGAACCUGACGGCAACGUCAGGUCUAGAUAGAUGAUCGUCCGAGACAGAACUCGGCUUAUGGCUUGCUCAUAGA
rnacentral:RNase_P_RNA from 1 species